CAUCAAACAAUAACAUCAUUACAUUACCCUUGUUUCUCCGCUGAGAAGCUCUUCUUCUCUCUCUACCCCUCUCUUACAGUUCUCUCUCUCUAUCUCUUCUCUCGAUCUUUACGGCUUCAAUAUCUCUACCUUUUGAUCUUCAAAAGCCUGGGUUUUUGUUGACUUGCUUUCACCAUUUCGCUACAAACCCUCCCCUCUCGAUUCACUUUAGGGCUUACAGAUCUGUUUUUCGUUCAAUAUGUUUUGGAAGCUCACGCAUCUGUCCUGUUCGCCGGUUGAAGAAGUGUUAGACAAGGAAAACUUCACAUUGGAAGAGCUUCUUGAUGAAGAAGAGAUAAUCCAAGAAUGCAAAGCUUUGAAUAGCCGCUUGAUAAAUUUUUUGAGAGAUAGAGCUCAGGUUGAGCAGUUGCUGCGAUACAUUGUUGAAGUGCCUUCUGAGGAUGCCGAUAGCAAAUGGAAGUUUAAGUUUCCUUUCAUCGCCUGUGAGAUAUUCACUUGUGAAAUUGAUGUCAUCCUUAAGACCUUAGUGGACGAUGAAGAGCUAAUGGAUUUGCUCUUUUCGUUCUUGGAGACCGAUCGUCCUCAUUGUGCGUUGCUUGCUGGGUAUUUUAGUAAGGUUGUGGUGUGCCUCAUGUUGCGGAAGACUAUUCCACUUAUGAAUUAUGUCCAGACCCAUCAUGAUGUUUUCCGCCAGAUGGUGGAUUUGAUUGGUAUUACAUCCAUAAUGGAGGUUUUGGUGCGACUUGUAGGCGCUGAUAUUUACCCGAACACUAAGGAUGUCAUGCAAUGGCUGGCUGACAGCAAUUUAUUAGAAAUGAUUGUGGAUAAAUUGAGCCCCUCUAGUUCUCCAGAAGUACAUGCUAAUGCAGCAGAGACUCUAUGUACAAUAACCCUAAACGCACCAUCUCCUCUUGCUACUAAGCUAUCCAGCCCAAGUUUUGUAGCAAGGAUAUUCAGUCAUGCCCUUGAAGACUCACACUCAAAGUCCGCCCUUGUCCAUUCAUUAUCUGUAUGCAUAUCUUUGCUGGAUCCUAAAAGAUCAAUUCCAUCUCCCAUGAUGUAUUCUUACCGCUGCCAGCAUGUUUAUGAGUCAUCUGUGUGUGUCAAUCCUGAGACUAUAAGUGCAAUGCUGCCCAAUUUCGGCAACUUGCUAAAGCUGUUGAAUGUAUCAUCUGAUGACAAGAUUCUGCCUACAACAUAUGGUGAACUCAGGCCGCCUCUAGGGAAACAUCGACUGAAGAUUGUGGAAUUCAUUUCUGUGCUGCUAAAAACUGGCAAUGAAGUUGCAGAGGAUGAAUUGAUCAGCUCUGGGACAAUUGAGAGAGUCCUGGAUCUCUUUUUUGAGUACGCAUUUAACAAUGCAUUGCAUCAUCACGUAGAGAGUAUAAUAAACUCAUGCUUGGAAAGCAGAAACAGUGUCCUGGUCGAUCAUCUUUUUGAAGACUGUAAUUUGGUUGGAAAAAUUCUUCAAACGGAUAAACAGCCCACAGUUUCUGGCAGUGAAAGUCAGCCCACUUUUCCUGCUACUGGUAAACAAGCACCCCGACUUGGUAACAUAGGGCAUCUAACACGGAUUGCUAACAAACUUGUACAGUUGGGAAGCGAUGACAAUCGCAUUCGAGGACAUCUAGAGAAAAAUAUGGAAUGGAGUGAUUGGCACACUACUGUCUUACAGGAGCGUAAUACACUUGAAAAUGUCUAUCGAUGGGCUUGUGGCCGGCCAACUGCAUUACUAGAUAGGACAAGAGACAGCGACGAGGAAGAUGUUCAUAACAGAGAUUAUGAUGUAGCAGCUUUAGCAAAUAAUCUGAGCCAGGCAUUCCAGUACACCAUAUAUGAUAAUAAUGGCGCUGAAGAGGGUCAUGGAGCUCUUGAUCGAGAUGAUGAGGAUGUAUACUUUGAUGAUGAGUCUGCUGAAGUUGUCCUGAGGUUGGGAGAUGAGCAAGGGAGCAAUUUGUUCACAAAUUCGGAUUGGUUUGCUUUUCGAGAUGAUAGAACUGGAGAUGAUUCCAAGAGUACCUCACCUACUGAAGUGAUGGAAGACAUUAACCUUAAUGGAACAACAAAUGGUGGUAAUAGCAAUAGUGAUGAUGAGGUAGUAGUUGGAGAGCAGGAGGAAUUGACUGAGAGAAAAUCAGAUGUAAUGCCCAGUUCUAGUUCAGAUGCUUUUAAUGGAGUUGGUGGAGUCGAUUCUGCUAAUGGUGGAGACUUCAAUCAACAAAAAGAUAAAGCAGAUGAGUCGGGUGAUGGGGGUUUCUUCCAUUUUGAGAAGUCAGACAGUGAUGACCCGUUUGGAGACAGGCCUAUACCUGAAUGGGUUGCAUGGGGAAAUGGCUCAGUUGGUGGAUCCGUGAAUCCCUUUGAAGAUAAUGGUGACUGUAGUGGAAAUCUUGCAAAUUCAGGGGAGGCAGUAACUCCCUCGAUUAGUUCCACUUCUUGCAGUGGUGGAGAGUCUAUUCCAAAUGGCGUAUCUACAUCUCCUGAUUCUAGUAAAAGUUCAUUGGGAUCUGAUUCUAGUAAAAAAGCAGCAUCCCCUGUGCCUUCUUUGUUUGAAGAGGAUGUUGAAUUUGUUGGUGUAGAAUUAGAGGGUACUGAAAAGGCAAUGGAACAUGCUCUUAAGGAGGGGAUUGUUGGGGAAGCGGCUCCAUUGAAAAGGAGCUUAGUUCCUAAGAUGCCAGAAAAGGAUAAUACAGAUGAGGGAGGGUCAGGAGUGAAAGAAUUCAAUGAGUCUAACUUUUGGAGAGUUGACCAAGAAGUCAUAGUACAGGAAUAACUGGGGAAUUCAGUUGACCUUUAUCUGAAUUUAGAAACACAGCUGAUACGCAGGGUGCUCAUUUUCAGUUUGGUGAGACUAUACAGGUGUACAGUGUACUUUGUGUUUCAAUUGGGAUCGACACAAGGAUAACAAAUAUUGGUUGUUACUGAUUUUUUAUUGUUCCACUCUGUCCAGUUAAAGGCACAUUUGUGGGAUGCUGAUUGAAACAACCAUCGUCCUGCUUGUCUGUCUCAUGCUAUGAUUGGAAUUUGGAUGAAAUUGUUCUAUCUUCGGCGUGGGGGUUUCGAUUGAAUAGAGUCAAGGUAAUUAUAUAUAAAACCUGCCAGAAUAGUUCAUAGUUCUAGCAAUUGGGUUAAAUGUAGUAGGAUGACGAGGUCUAAAUGAUACACUUUUGGAAAUGUAAAAUUUAUUUUCAAGAAGU